ensembl:lncRNA
CAGAAAGCAUUUUUAGAUAAACCCAAGCAUAUUCCAAGAGGGAAGACCCACGUUCCUGGCACUGCAGAAAACACACUGUUUCUGUGCCGCUCCACUCACCUGCUGUCCAAAGUCAGCAGCAUCAGCCUUAGGACCCUGGAAGGCAUCACAGGGGUGAGCCAGAGAAACCCCAUGGAAAAUAAGGAAAAAUCAACCUACGGUUGAGGAACAAUGUGAAGGUGAAGCCAGGUUUGCUGGAUGAGAUUUGUCUCGUGGCUAUUCAACUACCUGGGCUCUCCCUCUUCUGCACAGGACAGGAAGAGAAAUCAAGAUGGAACAGCUGGUGGGAGAUGGCCUACUGGCUAGUGUUAAAGGAAAUAGAGUUUGGACUUUGGGAAAAUUGAUUUCAUUUAUUCUGGGUAAUCCUGAAUGCUGCUAUGCUUUUCUCUGAUUUUGAAUUAAUAGCAAUUGGACAUAUGCUCUUACUGAUUUGAUGAAACUUAAAUAAAUUCACGUGGUGAGGAGAGGCAAAGAUCUUUUUGUGGUUACACGAGGAUUUCCCUCAAUGAGGUUUAUUUACAGCAACGGAUUCCACAGUGCCUUACCCAACUUGUAGAGAGGGUAAUAUCACACAGUUUUGCAGCCUCAUCUGAAAUGAAAUCUCACCAUAGAGUUCAUGAGCUUAUUUUUCUUGAAAUACAUGGUUCUUUUGUGAUCUCAUGUUUAUUGUAUUAGCCCUGAUUACUUGCUUCUGAAAAUGUAUCUAUCGCACAGUCCUGCUUUGACUGAGGCCUCUCUAUGGCAGUCAGCCUUUAGUGCGUUACUUUUCUGUUUCUCUCUGUUUAACUUCUGAGUGCAUUAACACCAAGAGCUUGAGACAAAGCUAGUGUAACGUAAUCUACUUGUUAUUUUGCCCUGUUGGCACCACAGAAAGAAGGGAGAACAGAGUUGCUGUAGGAAAGUCUUGCAGCUGUAACAUUUCCAUGUAACACUGAGUGUUUUUCUGUGACAAGAAUUACAUUUUCCACUGAGGAGGCCCAAGACCAGGUGCAACAUGUAAACUCUUGUAACUUCCUUGUUUGUGUUUUCAGUCUGGUUCUAAAGCAGAAUAAACCCCAUUGCCUGCUGGAUAUGCCUUCUGAGCAUGUAAGGAAAAAAAUCCUCUGUUAUAAGAUUUUUGAGCCAAAUAAGUGGCAAUGACCCCUGGACCCCAAGACCUUUCCUGACAUUAGAAGGCUUCUCCUAUAAGCAAAUGAAGUCCUGACCUAACCUAGUGACCGGUAGCUGACUUUGUAUUUGUGUUGGUUGCUCUGAAAGUAAUGCCUUGUAUGUAUUUCCACGGAAAAUACAACAGAUAGAACCAGCACAAGGAUGCUAUUUGAGAGAGAGAGAAUUCUCAGCUACAGAAUACUGUUUGUCAAUGGUCGCUGCCGGUACCUGUGCAUUUCUGCCAGUGAUGAACAAGAACCUGCAUGCUGCACUCGUAUCUAUCUGCACUAGCAGUGGUGACCCUGAGUUGCCACUGCUGAAACACACCACCAACCUCCCCUGUGCAUUCACAUCCCACGUUUGGUCUCCAUAAAUGUUCAGCAAGCUUCAGUGGCUGUCAACAAGUGCCUUUUUUUCCACACAGAGGAAUUCAGUGGCACACCUUUGCUUCCCACGCACUUCCAUGUUGGAUGCCAUUCUGUUGGACUGCCCCUCUGCUGCCAUUUGUCUCACAGCAACAAAAUGUAAUGGAGUAUUGGUGGGAAGGUUCAGCUUCUACUACCACACCUGUCGUGUUCCCAUCUAAUGUUGUGGGCCGACAUAAUGAAAUAGGAGGCAUUAUUUUUGAAACGGUCCUCCUAGAACAUAUGUAGAGUAAUAUAUGCAGAAUAGAAAAUGUUUUGAUAGUAGAUUUGUUCUUUUGGUAUCCUACUAGUUAUUUAUUUUAUCUACAGUUACGAUAGCGUUAUUUGUAGGGCUUCUCAUUAAUUGAUGUGCAUAUUUUAACAAUGUGUUUGAGUACUCCCUCAUUUCUCCUUUGCCCCAGCAGGUGAAGGGUGGGGGGUGGGAGUGUUCUUUGUAGCUUUAAAUGCAUUAGAGUAAAAGAGGGAAACAUAGAAGCUGUUUCACUGGGUAAAAGAAAUUUUGAACUGUAUAGAUCUAGCAGCAGUAAAUUUG